rnacentral:rRNA from 1 species
ACUGAACGCUGGCGGCAGGCCUAACACAUGCAAGUCGAGCGGAGCGACCGACGGGUGCGUAAUGACCAGGAAUCUGCCUGGCAUUGGGGGCUACCGUACGGAACCGGGCGCUAAUCCCACAUACUAUCUGAUGAGCCUAGGUCGGAUUAGCUAGCUGGUGGGGUAAAGGCCUACCAAGGCAACGAUCCGUAUCUGGUCUGCGAGGAUGAUCAGUCACACGGGAACUGAGACACGGUCCAGACUCCUACGGGAGGCAGCAGUGGGGAAUAUUGGACAAUGGGCGAAAGCCUGACCCAGCCACGCCGCGUGUGUGAAGAAGGUCUUCGGAUCGUAAAGCACUUUAAGUUGGGAAGCGGUACCAACAGAAAAAGCAACGGCUAACUACGUGCCAGCAGCCGCGGUAAUAC